GUUGUGCUGGAGAUUGUGUAGCACAGUUUGGAGACCACUGCUUUAGAGCAAUAAGUGAAGUAUAACCAGAUGAUCUUGAUCCCAAUACGUGUGAUAUGAAGACCCCACAUCUGCUGGAGAUCGGAGCCUACGUGUCAGCCGGACCCUGCAGCGUUUCCCCUCUGACAAUAUUCACCCUCCAAGACUGGGCGCAGAAGGCAGCUGUUUUUAAGAGGGGGAGUUUGGGGUGUCCCAGUACUGGAGUGCAUCCUGUCAGGUAAACAUUGCUUCAGGUGCCUGUGAUAGGCCCUGCUGCUCAGUAAAGACAGUUUCAACUCUAAGGAAUAGUAUUGCUUAGCCAGAGGAGGAGAAAGCUGAACAUGGAGCCCUCUGCAUACACUAAUCUCUUCAGUGACCAACUGUGGGAGUUAGUACAGUGUGGCUCAACUCAUCACAGAAGUUCUACAGUGUAUGCCCUGUGCCGCAAACCUACCAUCACCUCGUUCCAGUAUUGGCGUCAUAGUCUGGGAGGCUACUGCUGAAUAACCAUAAGACAAUGUGCGCCGGUCCAGAUCCUGAUCCCAGCCGUGACUCAUCCUCUUGAUCCUGAACGUUUGGCCCAAAUAAACCC